UGCACAAUGGUCUUACCUGCCAACCU
rnacentral:piRNA from 1 species